UUCGCCCUUAGAGUUUGAUCCUGGCUCAGAGCGAACGCUGGCGGCAGGCUUAACACAUGCAAGUCGAGCGGGCCCUUCGGGGUCAGCGGCAGACGGGUGAGUAACACGUGGGAACGUGCCCUUCGGUUCGGAAUAACUCAGGGAAACUUGAGCUAAUACCGGAUACGCCCUUUUGGGGAAAGGUUUACCGCCGAAGGAUCGGCCCGCGUCUGAUUAGCUAGUUGGUGGGGUAACGGCCUACCAAGGCGACGAUCAGUAGCUGGUCUGAGAGGAUGAUCAGCCACACUGGGACUGAGACACGGCCCAGACUCCUACGGGAGGCAGCAGAAGGG
rnacentral:rRNA from 1 species